UCCACGCAGUUUUUUCCUGGAGAAUCAGC
rnacentral:sRNA from 1 species